rnacentral:rRNA from 1 species
UGGGGAAUAUUGCACAAUGGAGGGAACUCUGAUGCAGCGACGCCGCGUGAACGAAGAAGGCUUUCGAGUCGUAAAGUUCUUUUAUAUGGGAAGAUAAUGACGGUACCAUAAGAAGAAGCCCCGGCUAACUACGUGCCAGCAGCCGCGGUAAUACGUAGGGGGCUAGCGUUGCCCGGAAUCACUGGGCGUAAAGGGUUCGCAGGCGGAAAUGCAAGUCAGGUGUAAAAGGCAGUAGCUUAACUACUGUAAGCAUUUGAAACUGCAUAUCUUGAGAAGAGUAGAGGUAAGUGGAAUUUUUAGUGUAGCGGUGAAAUGCGUAGAUAUUAAAAAGAAUACCGGUGGCGAAGGCGACUUACUGGGCUCAUUCUGACGCUGAGGAACGAAAGCGUGGGUAGCAAACAGG